rnacentral:rRNA from 1 species
ACAAGCAGCGGAGCAUGUGGCUUAAUCCGACGCAACGCGAAGAGCCUUACCAAGGCUUGACAUAUACCGGAAAGCAUCAGAGAUGGUGCCCCCCUUGUGGUCGGUAUACAGGUGGUGCAUGGCUGUCGUCAGCUCGUGUUGUGAGAUGUUGGGUUAAGUCCCGCAACGAGCGCAACCCUUGUUCUGUGUUGCCAGCAUGCCCUUCGGGGUGAUGGGGACUCACAGGAGACUGCCGGGGUCAACUCGGAGGAAGGUGGGGACGACGUCAAGUCAUCAUGCCCCUUAUGUCUUGGGCUGCACACGUGCUACAAUGGCCGGUACAAUGAGCUGCGAUGCCGCGAGGCGGAGCGAAUCUCAAAAAGCCGGUCUCAGUUCGGAUUGGGGUCUGCAACUCGACCCCAUGAAGUCGGAGUUGCUAGUAAUCGCAGAUCAGCAUUGCUGCGGUGAAUACGUUCCCGGGCCUUGUACACACCGCCCGUCACGUCACGAAAGUCGGUAACACCCGAAGCCGGUGGCCCAACCCCUUGUGGGAGGGAGCUGUCGAAGGUGGGACUGGCGAUUGGGACGAAGUCGUAACAAGGUAGCCGUAAA